rnacentral:tRNA from 1 species
GGAAGAGUAUCGAAGUGGUCAUAACGAGCCGCACUCGAAAUGCGGUGUACCGCAAGGUACCGUGGGUUCGAAUCCCACCUCUUCCGCCA